rfam:Salmo salar isolate Sally breed double haploid chromosome ssa16, whole genome shotgun sequence.
UGCAUUCGCUACUGUAAGUCGCUCUGGAUAAGAGCGUCUGCUAAAUGACGUAAA